rnacentral:rRNA from 1 species
AGACACGGUCCACACUCCUACGGGAGGCAGCAGUGAGGAAUAUUGGUCAAUGGACGAGAGUCUGAACCAGCCAAGUAGCGUGAAGGAUGACUGCCCUAUGGGUUGUAAACUUCUUUUAUACGGGAAUAAAGUUAGCCACGUGUGGUUUUUUGUAUGUACCGUAUGAAUAAGGAUCGGCUAACUCCGUGCCAGCAGCCGCGGUAAUACGGAGGAUCCGAGCGUUAUCCGGAUUUAUUGGGUUUAAAGGGAGCGUAGGCGGGUUGUUAAGUCAGUUGUGAAAGUUUGCGGCUCAACCGUAAAAUUGCAGUUGAUACUGGCGACCUUGAGUGCAACAGAGGUAGGCGGAAUUCGUGGUGUAGCGGUGAAAUGCUUAGAUAUCACGAAGAACUCCGAUUGCGAAGGCAGCUUACUGGAUUGUAACUGACGCUGAUGCUCGAAAGUGUGGGUAUCAAACAGGAUUAGAUACCCUGGUAGUCCACACA